UGGUGGAGUGAUUUGUCUGGUUAAUUCCGAUAACGAACGAGACCUUGACCUGCUAAAUAGUGGCGUUCAACGCCUGCUGGUGAAGUCGUCAGCCGGCUGUGCCGUUUUACGGUGUGGUCUCUGGCGGUGGAUCCUUGACGAUUGUGUGAAACUUCUUAGAGGGACUAUUGGCGUUUAGCCAAAGGAAGUAAGGCAAUAACA
rnacentral:rRNA from 1 species